UGUUCGUCCUGGCGCAGACCUUUCCGUGGUCCUCGGGAUAAGUACCCUCCGGCUCAAGAAAGGCGUAUCAGCGCCCAAUACAUGUAUCAUGUAUUGGGUCCUGAUACGCUGUCGGUAGGGGAAACCAACAUGCGC
rnacentral:ribozyme from 1 species